CCUUACCUACCCUUGACAUGUCUGGAAUCCUGAAGAGAUUUGGGAGUGCUCGAAAGAGAGCCAGAACACAGGUGCUGCAUGGCCGUCGUCAGCUCGUGUCGUGAGAUGUUGGGUUAAGUCCCGCAACGAGCGCAACCCUUGUCAUUAGUUGCUACGAAAGGGCACUCUAAUGAGACUGCCGGUGACAAACCGGAGGAAGGUGGGGAUGACGUCAGGUCAUCAUGGCCCUUAUGGGUAGGGCUACACACGUCAUACAAUGGCCGGGACAGAGGGCUGCCAACCCGCGAGGGGGAGCUAAUCCCAGAAACCCGGUCGUAGUCCGGAUCGUAGUCUGCAACUCGACUGCGUGAAGUCGGAAUCGCUAGUAAUCGCGGAUCAGCUUGCCGCGGUGAAUACGUUCCCGGGUCUUGUACACACCGCCCGUCACACCAUGGGAGCGGGUUCUGCCAGAAGUAGUUAGCCUAACCGCAAGGGGGACG
rnacentral:rRNA from 1 species